rnacentral:rRNA from 1 species
AAGAAGGCCUUCGGGUUGUAAAGCACUUUUAUCGGGAACGAAACGUGUAGGGUGAAUAUCCCUGCAAACUGACGGUACCCGAGGAAUAAGCACCGGCUAACUUCGUGC